GACGAACGCUGGCGGCGUGCUUACCACAUGCAAGUCGACCGGUGACGCGCCUUACUCUUUGGUGCGUCUGGAUGAGUGGCGAACGGGCGCGUAACACGUGAGUAACCUGCUUCCUUCUACUGAGUAACCGCAUGACACUGUCGCUAAUACGGGCUCUACUGCGCCUGUCGCAUGAUGUGCCUGUGUAGGCUCUAGUUCUGGUGGGGGGUCGGCUCGCGGCCUAGCAGCAUGUUUGUGGGGUGAUGGCGUACCAGGGCGUGGACGGGUAGCCGGCCGGAGGGGGGGGACGGUCACACUGCGACUGAGACACGGGCAAGACUCAUACGGGAGGCAGCAGUGGGGAAUAUUGCACAGUGGGCGCAAGCCUGGUGCAGCGACGCCGCGUGGGGGAGGGAGGCCUUCGGGUUGUGAACCUCUUUCGCCAGUGAAGCAGGCCUGCCUCGUUUGUGGGUGGGUUGACGGUAGCUGGAUAAGAAGCGCCGGCUAACUACGUG
rnacentral:rRNA from 1 species